rnacentral:rRNA from 1 species
AGAACGAACGCUGGCGGCAUGCCUAACACAUGCAAGUCGAACGAGACCUUCGGGUCUAGUGGCGCACGGGUGCGUAACGCGUGGGAAUCUACCCUUGGGUUCGGAAUAACAGUUGGAAACGACUGCUAAUACCGGAUGAUGACGUAAGUCCAAAGAUUUAUCGCCCAGGGAUGAGCCCGCGUAGGAUUAGCUAGUUGGUGAGGUAAAGGCUCACCAAGGCGACGAUCCUUAGCUGGUCUGAGAGGAUGAUCAGCCACACUGGGACUGACGACACGGCCCAGACUCCGUACGGGAGGCAGCAGGUGGGGAAUAGUUGGACAAGUGGGACGAAAGCCUGAUCCAGCAAUGCCGCGUAGAGUGAGUGAAGGCCGUUAGGUUGUAAACGUCUACGUUUACCCGGGAA